GCCAAGUCCUGUUGGAAAAUGACAUCUGCAUCUCCAUAAAGUUGGUCAGCAGCGGGAAGCAUGAAGUGCUCUAAAUCUUCCUGGUAGACGACUGCACUGACCUCGGACCUCAGAAAAACGGUGGACCAACACCAGCAGAUGACAUGGCACCCCAAACCAUCACAUCACUUUGGAAAUGAAGGUCCCAGAGUCUGGAGGGAGAGAGGAGAAGCACAGAAUCCACGUUGCUUGAGGUCCAGUGUAAAGUUUCCACAGUCAGUGAUAGUGUUUAUUUGUGUGAAAUGCAUCCUGUGACAUCACAGUAAAAGAUAAAUAAUGUGUUCAUUACAUGGCAUUAGCUUGAGGGAAGAGCUGCUGCUAAUAUCGGUAUCGGUUGAUAUCGGUAUCGGUGAUGACGUUCUGAACAAUAUGAGUGUAUCUGAUAUCGGUAAGAAAGCCACUAGCGAGCAUCUCAACAGUCUCGGAAAAAAAAAAAUUAUGGGUGCAUUUUGGUAGUUCCUGUGGUAGAAUCCAUGUUGUAAUGCCAAACUUUUAUUGCAAAGCUUACUUUGCACUAAACAGGAAGUCACAGUGUGCAUGUUUUAACUUGACAAUAGUUACUGUAUGUUGCUGUUGUGGCUUCACACUGCUUAUCGAUAACAAUGACGUUAACAAUACUACAACACACAUAAAUGAACCCUUUUUUCAUAGAAAUGACAUCGUCGGCUCUCAAAUUUUAUUACCGACAAAAGCGGUCAACCACGUCCAGCAUGUCCACGUUAACUUAACAGGCACUUGUGGACAGAGACUUGAUGAGCUGGCCGAUAUAAAUGGGUUGUCGACAGAGGAGGGAGCGGAUUUAAAAUUUUGUUCAUGUGCUAAGAAAGUUUGGGAAACCCUGGCGAGAACAGUCUUGACACAUUUCAACCUUUACGUGCAGUUUGGCGUUGCAUGCUAAUCAGAAUACAUCAGCAGACCCCUGCGCUAUGCUAGCACACCUCUGGAGGUUUGAAGCUGAUAAGGAGGAGAGGCCACAGCUGUGGGAGGUUUUAAUAAGGACCUCCAUCCUCUAAGCCCCUGAGAAAAGAGACCAUGAAGGUGCCGCACUGACCCUGCCCUCAGCAUGAAAUGCAGACAAGUUGACAACCACGUGGAAACACUGAAAAGUCCUAAACCCUAUGGAGACACACAAACGUCUCCCGGGGGAAAAUUCGGUGUUUUGUUUUGGUGACGUCAAUCAAGUAAUAAAGUUGUGAGCUCAUGUGACUCCAUUGCUGUGUGUCAGAUGGAAUACGUCUGUCAGUCCACUUCAAUAAGUACACUGUGUACUUACAGUAGUUCCUGGGGGGGGCACAUUUUCAUAGAGUAGUUUCUUACACCAAAUAACUUAAAGCAAGCGAAGUACACUACUUUUCAAAAGUAAACAUCUUUUGUGAUGUAAUGGCGUGCCUCUUGUGUUGUUAAAAUGUGGCGUCCAACUGUGUCUUACUGUCCUUGCAAAUACAUGAAAAGCCAGCUCUGUCGCUCAUCUAUGAUGUCAUCAGCGGUUGACUUUGUAGUUCUUUGCUAACUAACACAGUUAUGCCAUAAGCAUACUCAUUUCUAUGCAUUUCAAAAUGUUUUCUGCAUGUAAAACUCUAAAAAAGUUUUGGGCUUUCUGGAAGGGAUUCAUUGGAUUGACGUUAUUUCUCAUGGGAAGAAUUGAUUUGGUUAGCAUCCGUUUCAGUUAGAGUCGGACCUUCUGGAACGGAUUGAUGAUGCGAACUAAGGUUCCACUGUAUGCACCAUGCAAAUAUGACAAGUUAGAUGAAUAUGAUAUAAAUAUGCGGGGUUUCAGAGCGACACGUACAGUAAAAGUGAGUGAUGUUUCAUACUGGUUAGUUUGCCAUCGCCAUUGUUCGCUAAUACUAUGUAGGGAACUAACUAGCUAGUCAAAGAGAGCUGUUUUGGUGGAGAAUUGCAAGUCACACGUCAGCCCCCACUGGAGAGCACUAAACGAGUCAAGACGGGGCUGAAGCAUAAAUCAGACUUUAGUACCUCCCCUUCCGCUACCUAGCCAAGAUGGCGACGAAUGACCAUUUGGGGCGUGUUAAUUGCAAUAUACGAGUGCUGGUGCCACUCUGCGUUUUGCCAUGCUUGUCAGUGUGAACGCACUUGUGCACUCCAAAUGCUAAGUGUAAGUACAAAAGUGUGCGAUUUGAGGAGGUGUUGUGUGUCAAGCACAGCGCCAUAAAGUCACAGGUUUGUUUUGUGUUUCAAAGUUGAAAGCUGUCAGUUUGGUUGUUUUCUCUGUGAUGAGCAGCUAAUACGCCAAAGUUGGCCAAACAGAUGGCAUGUUGUUGCAAAGCAGAUGUUAUUUUGCAUAGCGACGCAUGAUGAAUAUGCAUGAGUGGUAGUUCAUGACACCAAGGUGCCAGCACUCCGCUUGUUUCACCGACAUACAACUUUGUUCAACUCUCUUGUCAUGUUGUGACGCUGGACGUUAAACAAGUUAUGGAUACCACAGGCCGCAGGUCCUUACAGAACCGUAAAUGUGUUUUUGUCCUUUCCGUCAUAAUUGCAGCACUGACCCCAGUUUGGGAGGAUGAAGAUUAUUCCGAGCGCCUUCGUUAAUAUUAAGCAGGCGCUGACACGGGGCUCGGACGUUGGCGCCUGGCAGGGAGGUGGCCCUCGUGCAAUGAGAGCAGCUUCAAUAAUGCAUGUGACCCUCAGGGGCCACCAUGCAAAGAAGUGCAAGGUGAUUUAGAUAAUAUCUGACAGACGUCGUUUAUCCACUCUGUGCUGUCUUUAUCAGACCUGCAGACGCGCGCCUGUGUCUGUAUCUGCUCCGUGGUGUUUGCCUGGAGCUCUCACCCGGAGGCGUGUUCUGAUGCGCUGAAACGGAUCAGUAACUCAACCCGUGAGAUGAUUUCCAUUUCCCUCUAAUAGAAAUGAAUGAGGCAUCUGCGUGUGCCGAGCACGAUCCAUCAUCGUCUUGUCAGCACCACCAUGUUUGGAAUAUGGUAACGAGCGGGCUGGGUGACACGUGACGGCGUCAUCAUGAGGUGGUCAGAACGGCUCCUCUCCUUCAUGUUCAAGUACCGACCUCUGACUCUAGCGGAACACGAAGUUGCACAUUUACUGUCAUGAUCCGCAUGACAGGUUGGACAGCUCCAUAGGUGACACCGUUACCUUCAGUGUGAGCACGGCUGGGUUUCUGCACCUCCUCUUGCUCGUGCCUGCGGCCAAGCUUCGAAGCUCCCUCUGUGUGAUUCCUACGCUCCACUUUUUGGAAAAGGCUGGAAGCCGGAAUUGGACCCCAAAGCAGAGGCAACAAAGAAGUGCCAUAACAACACAUAACAAUUCAGAUUGGUUUUUUUUGUUUUUUUUUACAUUUUUUUCAGUAAAAAUCACUGAAUUUGCACAUUCCCUGAUCAAAUACAGUGUGGCGAAUCUCACCUCUCCUCUUAAGUGCACAGCCGAGCCUACCAUCUGAGUGCACUAGAUGGCGGAUGGAGCGUGCCUGAUUGUCAGCAUGACACCGAUCAUAUGUAAUGGUUUUAUUGUAUGUGUGACAUCAUUAGUCUUGCUAAUCAGACAAUAAAAGACGUACAGAGAAAUGUCAUACGCGGACACGUAUUACAUAUAACGUGUAAUAAUAAUAAUAAUAAUAAUUUGCACGUUGCAUACUCCGGCUUCGUCCCACAUUCCAAAAAAUACGGAUGCUAGGUGGAUUGAGGACUCUAAAUUGUCCAUAUGUGUGAAUGUGGAAUGUGAGUGUGAAGAGUUGUUGAUAAAGUAUGUGCCUUGCGAUUGGCUGGCGACCACUUCAAGGUGUACCCCGCCUCUCGCCCGAAGACAGCUGGGAUAGGCCCCAGCCUAGUCCUCCCUAGUGAGGACAAUCAGUAUAGAAAAUGGAUGGAUAAUAAUCAGACAAAUAACCCAACCGACAUAACCCACAACAGGCUAAAACUCAACUCUGAACCCCGAUGUCACCUUCUGUCCACCGCUACUUACUUUACUUUCAUUUAUGUCUUAAAUGGCUUAUUUUCUCUGAUUACUUCUACUAUGUCGGGUAAUACAAAUGUAAAGGUGACUAUAGGGGUGUUAUUUCAUGACUAGAGAGCUCUAAUAAUGUUAAAACAUGUAUUUAGAAGAUCGUAAUCAUGUUUUGUAUGCCAUAACUAUGAAAAUAUUCCAUUUAUAAAUAAGGAAUCCUACUUUGUGGAUAUUCACUUAUCACGGUUGGGUCUGGAACCAAUUAACCGUGAUAAACGAGGGAUUACUGUAAAGCAUAAAUCUAAAAAACUCAAAUAAACCAGGUGAAUGCUGCCAUGCUUUUAUUUGAAGUCACAGUGUGUGCCAUCAAGGCCAUGUAACUAGCAGUUACAGUAAACUGACCUAUUUUUCAUCUAAAUGACCCUUUGGGUCUCAAAUUUAUGUUUGACACAAGCAGGCGACCGUGAGUGUCGAUGUGGGCUUAAGCAGGUACUUUUUAGUAAGAAGACGAACCCGACGGACCGGGACUUGAUGAGUGUUAGCGACUUCCACUGUUGUUUGUGUGUGAUGUUUGUGAAGAGGCGCUGCUGGGCUCGUGUCCACCAUGAGUUGAACUGGUGAAAGGUUCUUCUUUUAAUGCGGUCCGUGAAGCAAAAAGCACGUUUGUCAGCUGAUGAAUUAUUGGGGUGACAUGAGUCAUGACACGGCCUUCAGGAGCAUUGAAUAUUACAACAAUUAGAAAUUCAGAAAAGUGUUGAUGAAGCUUUUAUAUCAGGCAGUGAUGAGUUGCUCUUGACAAGUAGGUUCUGUCAUCAAUAAAUGAGGGCGCCGUUAGCAAGAUCUUAGAGCAUCGCCACCUCCGGUUCGACUUGUGCCUGCGGCUAUUUUCCCAGCUCUCCCAGAAGAAGGAAGCCGAGAUCAAAUGCGUCCACUGCUGAGUUCUCUGACGGAUUCAAAUAAUUUGUUCCUGCUGCCAGCACCAAGCGCCGACUCCCCAGAACCGCUCAGCCGCUUUGUUGUGUGUGUUUGAGUGGCGGCGUCCUCUGGGCUGCGCUGUCACAGCUCAUAUUCAAGUACAGCCUGGCUAACAGGGCUCGUCGCUUCCCUCCCGCUUAGCUUCCCUUUCCAUCAGCUUCCCAGCCACAGUUUAACACGAUGUUCGCUAAUCGUUAGCGAGGUAGGACAAAGUACAUCCAACAAGGGCGACGUGAAUAAAAAGAGAACCAAAGUUAAAUCCAGCAUUACGACAUGGACCUGUGGUGCAACAAACCCACAAACUGAACAGAGUAGUGCCCAAACUGUUUCCACUUACAUAGAAAAAUUGAAGAAUGGUACAUUUUUGUUAAAGAUGGUAAAACAAUCAAAUAUAGGUCAAUAUGUGCUAUGCUAUCCGAACAACACAAUCACAUUUUAGCUUUGUUACAGGAGGCAAAGCACAUUAAUGCCAUUACUAAGAAUAUACAGUGGAUCCUCAGGUAGCGUCUUCUCCAGUUAGCGUGUUUUUUGGUUAAUGUCAAAAAUGCACGGCAAAAGUUUACCUAGGUUUAUCAAUCUUGAGUUAUUAAUACACUG